rnacentral:lncRNA from 11 species
GUUUUAUAUUUGCAGUAAUUACUGAAAAGCUAUUUUAGAUUUAUGAGAUGCUUGUAUGUUCUCUUUGUUAACUCUGGCUUGGAGAAAGGCAAAUUAUACACAGCUGGUCAAAACCUACAAAAUAUUUAUGUCUUAUGUGGCAACAUGGACCAGGAGAAACACCUCCCAACAAAAGGAUUCCCACAGGCAGGAAUCAGCCAGGUUUUGAAGCUGCAAGGAUUUUCCAUGCUAAUCACGUGCA